rnacentral:tRNA from 1 species
AGCUCAGUUGGUAGAGUGCUUGCUUAGCAUGCAUGAGGUCCUGGGUUCAAUCCCCAG